AAUAUUUCUUAUGCUUACUGCAAAUCAUGUCAGUAAUCCAGACUUGGUGUUUAAAAGAUUUUUAUGAAUAAAGAUUGUUAUCCCUUGGUGACUACUAUUUCUUAGUAAAAUCUAUCUACCAAGGUAUGUCUACUACUGUAUCUUCACAGAUCGCUUUAGUUUAGUACUACAACAUUCACUGUACCCAAAUACCUUCUGUGAUUUGGCCCAAGAAAGUCUGUUCUCCUUUGCGUCCAAAAUAUGUAAGUUUGCUAAUUUCAUAAACUCCUUUUAUCCUUGAUGCAGAUUUGUUCUUAACACUUGGUGGGAAUAAAAAGGAACAAAGAGAUAGUGAUGGAUGGGUAGGAGAGGCGAGGGCCGCCUCACCGUAGAUGGAGCCCACGGGGCGCGCAAGGAGUGACGCGCCUUCUCUGGCUCCUUGCUCCGCUCCAAUGGCGUCGAUGUCCACGUGCCACGUCAUGGAACGGAUGCGGCACAAUUGGCUAGGUACCAUUUUCUUUCCAAGCGUAGUAUCUCUUUUGUUAUUGUCAAAUCAUUUUAGUUCACUUGGUUCUUUUUGUUUAGAAUAUCUUGGAACAAAGUGCAACACUUAUGUUUAUCUGCUAAAUUGAACUUAAAACAGGCGAAACAUAUCAGAAAACCGAUAUAGAUUUCUUGGAAUCGGAAGCAAGCGCUUUCAGGGAUGAUGGUUCAACAGCUUCAACUGCAAUUUUGGUGGGUGACCGUCUGUAUGUUGCAAAUGUUGGUGAUUCUCGUGCUGUUAUUCCAAAAGCUGGCAAAGCUAUGGCACUUUCAGAAGAUCACAAACCUAAUAGGAUUGAUGAGCGGAAGAGAAUUGAAAAUGCUUGUGUAUUGUCAUUUGGGCUGAUUCCUCUAGGUCGGAUGGAAGGGCGUAUCACACAUAAUCUGGCCACAUGAUAGAAUGCGUGGAGUCGACAGGAUGGUGCUAGAAGGAAGGAUCCUUUCUCAGCUCAUCAAACAGCAUUAACGACAAGUAUCGCUCCCCAAGGAUUGAAGAACAGUCUGCAGCAAUGGACCACCGAUCAGUACUCUGAAACUGCCUUCAUGUGAAAGGAAUGUUCAAUGCAGUAGUAGUAUUAGAGUAUAGCUCACUAGGGAAUAAUGCAUCUUAUGAACAAGUAGUGUUGGAGGAACAAGUAUCUGGCCACCUGACAAAGUGAGCUAUUGUCACACGAUGAUACAUUUGAUCCAUCUUUGGCCACAUACCAUUGCUGUCUUUUUUUCUGACGAGACAAUUUAAUGUUGUACGCUAUUGAUGUUCAUCAUUUGAUUGUUGCUCUGAAUUCGACAUUUUGAUGUUUCGACAUUUUGAUGUUUCGGGGUCUGGUAGUUUAAUAGAAUUUUUAAUGAAUUUGGAGGC